GACGUAGGGUGCAAGCGUUGUCCGGAAUCACUGGGCGUAAAGCGCGUGUAGGCGGUAUGGCAAGUCUGCUGUGAAAGCUCUCGGCUUAACCGGGAGAGGUCGGUGGAAACUGCCACACUGGAGGACGGUAGAGGGGGGUGGAAUUCCCGGUGUAGUGGUGAAAUGCGUAGAGAUCGGGAGGAACACCUGUGGCGAAGGCGGCCCCCUGGGCCGGCCCUGACGCUGAGACGCGAAAGCGCGGGGAGCGAACGGG
rnacentral:rRNA from 1 species